GAUGAACGCUGGCGGCGUGCCUAAUACAUGCAAGUCGAGCGAAUGGAUUAAGAGCUUGCUCUUAUGAAGUUAGCGGCGGACGGGUGAGUAACACGUGGGUAACCUGCCCAUAAGACUGGGAUAACUCCGGGAAACCGGGGCUAAUACCGGAUAACAUUUUGAACCGCAUGGUUAGACAUUGAAAGGCGGCUACGGCUGUCACUUAUGGAAGGACCCGCGUCGCAUUAGCUAGUUGGUGAGGUAACGGCUCACCAAGGCAACGAUGCGUAGCCGACCUGAGAGGGUGAUCGGCCACACUGGGACUGAGACACGGCCCAGACUCCUACGGGAGGCAGCAGUAGGGAAUCUUCCGCAAUGGACGAAAGUCUGACGGAGCAACGCCGCGUGAGUGAUGAAGGCUUUCGGGUCGUAAAACUCUGUUGUUAGGGAAGAACAAGUGCUAGUUGAAUAAGCUGGCACCUUGACGGUACCUAACCAGAAAGCCACGGCUAACUACGUGCCAGCCGCCGCAGUAA
rnacentral:rRNA from 1 species